GUUUUGCAUCAGGAGAGGCCCGACCCUAACCGGCCGGGCCCGGCAACCUGGGACGGACACCCGAGGUGCUCACUCGCCAGCGGCGAGGAUGUGGUCGCGAAAGCGCAAGCGGCAACCAAGUGUCCACGG
rnacentral:ncRNA from 2 species